AGGGCACCACCAGGAGKGGAGCCUGCGGCUUAAUUUGACUCAACACGGGAAAACUCACCCGGCCCGGACACUGGAAGGAUUGACAGAUUGAGAGCUYUUUCUUGAUUCAGKGGGKGGKGGUGCAUGGCCGUUCUUAGUUGGUGGAGUGAUUUGUCUGGUUAAUUCCGAUAACGAACGAGACUCUAGCCUACUAAAUAGAUCGUCGGCUUACAAACGCCGGCGAGACUUCUUAGAGGGACAGGCGGUGAUUCAACCGCACRAAACAGAGCAAUAACAGGUCUGUGAUGCCCUUAGAUGUCCGGGGCCGCACGCGCGCUACACUGAAGUGAUCAGCGUGCUUUUUCAACCUACUCUGUCAAGAGUGGGGAACCCAAUGAACCUUCUUCGUGAUUGGGAUAGGGGAUUGUAAUUGUUCCCCUUGAACGAGGAAUUCCCAGUAAGCGCGAGUCAUAAGCUCGCGUUGAUUACGUCCCUGCCCUUUGUACACACCGCCCGUCGCUACUACCGAUUGAAUGUUUU
rnacentral:rRNA from 1 species